AGCGUAGGUGGCGAUGUAAGUCGGAUGUGAAAUCCCGGGGCUCAACCCCGGAACUGCAUUCGAUACUGCGUUGCUAGAGUACUGGAGAGGAGAUCGGAAUUUACGGUGUAGCAGUGAAAUGCGUAGAUAUCGUAAGGAAGACCAGUGGCGAAGGCGGAUCUCUGGACAGUUACUGACACUGAGGCUCGAAGGCCAGGGGGAGCAAACG
rnacentral:rRNA from 1 species